rnacentral:rRNA from 1 species
GACAGAGGGUGCAAACGUUGUUCGGAAUUACUGGGCGUAAAGCGCGUGUAGGCUGCUCGGAAAGUCGGAUGUGAAAGCCCUGGGCUCAACCUAGGAAGUGCAUUCGAAACUUCUGAGCUGGAGUGCUGGAGAGGAAGGCGGAAUUCUCGGUGUAGAGGUGAAAUUCGUAGAUAUCGAGAGGAACACCGGUGGCGAAGGCGGCAUCCUGGACCGACACUGACACUGAGGAGCGAAAGCCAGGGGAGCAAACGGG